AUACGUAGGGUGCAAGCGUUAAUCGGAAUUACUGGGCGUAAAGCGUGCGCAGGUGGUUUUGUAAGUCAGAUGUGAAAUCCCCGGGCUUAACCUGGGAACUGCGUUUGAAACUGCAAGGCUAGAGUGUGGCAGAGGGGGGUGGAAUUCCGCGUGUAGCAGUGAAAUGCGUAGAUAUGUGGAGGAACACCGAUGGCGAAGGCAGCCCCCUGGGUCAGCACUGACGCUCAGGCACGAAAGCAUGGGGAGCAAACAGGAUUAGAAACCCCAGUAGUCC
rnacentral:rRNA from 1 species